rnacentral:rRNA from 1 species
GACGAACGCUGGCGGCGCGCCUAACACAUGCAAGUCGAACGAGCGAGCGAGAGCUUGCUUUCUCAAGCGAGUGGCGAACGGGUGAGUAACACGUGAGGAACCUGCCUCAAAGAGGGGGACAACAGUUGGAAACGACUGCUAAUACCGCAUAAGCCCACAGGUCGGCAUCGACCAGAGGGAAAAGGAGCAAUCCGCUUUGAGAUGGCCUCGCGUCCGAUUAGCUAGUUGGUGAGGUAACGGCCCACCAAGGCAACGAUCGGUAGCCGGACUGAGAGGUUGAACGGCCACAUUGGGACUGAGACACGGCCCAGACUCCUACGGGAGGCAGCAGUGGGGAAUAUUGCACAAUGGGGGAAACCCUGAUGCAGCGACGCCGCGUGGAGGAAGAAGGUCUUCGGAUUGUAAACUCCUGUUGUUGAGGAAGAUAAUGACGGUACUCAAAAAGGAAGUGACGGCUAACUACGUG